AGAAACAAAGUAUUAUUACAUUACAUGAGCUUUUCUUGUUCUUGUUAGGAGUAGGUUUUGUUCAAUCUGUAAUUUCUCUUAUUUUAAAGACAAAUAAGAAAAAUAUGAGAAUGACAAAGAAAAAAGAUUUUCAUACCUCAUUUUCUUCAUUAUGCUCAUGAAGCUCUAUAACUAAGUACGAGAAUCGGUUGACCCACCUUUGAUUCAUCUCCAAAUAGCAUCCCUUCUUUUUCGUCUUUCUAUGAACUUCAUUAUAAGUUGCAAGAUUGAUUGGGUUCCCGUUUAGGUUUGUCAGUUGCUUCAGUGGAAUAUCAAACUAUCGUGUCACAUCACCUUGUUGUAGCCCCAAUUGCCUAUAACAUAUGUCCGGGCGAACUAUAGCUAUGACAAAGAAAUUGAUGCAGGAGACAACUGCAUAUUUUAGACGACGAAGUUGCUGCUCAUACGGAGCAUGAAAGCCGUAUGGGCUCCAAUUUAUAUCAUCCUCAUUCAGCUCAUCAAAUUUGCCGUUGAACACAUUUUCCAUUAAAAUCUUCUUGGAAGGCCUUAAAUGAUCAAACAUCACUUUAAACCACUUGGUAAGUAAUGGAGUUUCAUUUGCUAAUUCUACUCCAUGGAGAAUUUCAACCUCUAAGAACUUGAAUAGCUCUAAUGCAAAUACAACUAAAACUAGAACAAAACAGCUAAAACUUUAAUGUGUACGAUUAGCUAUAUCAUGCUUGAUGUGACCCAACACUGCGGCUCCCCACGCAUAGUUGUCGAUCUCAUUAAAAUCCAACAAUGGCAAAUAAUGUGGCCCACCGGACUUUGACCGAGACGGAAAAAUACUAGUUGAGAGGCAGUAAAAGAUGAAGGCUUUUGCACGUACCUUCGAAGAAUAAACAGUGGCAGUAGUAUUAAAGUACUCUAGAAAAGUUUUCAGAUUAACCCCACCCUUGUAAGCAGGUUUUACUUUAAAAACGAACAUACUCUGUGCAAGACCCAUUUCCAUGUCGAGAUGUUUUACUAGUAAUUGGGCAGGAUUCUCUAUUAUUUCUCCCGUCACCGGGUUCCCAUCAAUGGGAAGUCCAGUAAUGUGCAGGAUAUUCUCAAACCCAAAAUCUAACUCAAACCCUUGGGCUCUCCAUCAUAUUUUAAUAUGAGAUGUUUUAAGAAGCUUAGAGGAAUCUGCAAAUCACUUUUUAUGGCAGACAAUAGAUCAUGGAGUGGAAGCAAGAACUUAAAACAAGUUCUUUCAACCUCUUCCCUGACGUCAUCUGUCAAUUUCCACUCCUUUAAUUUAUUCAAAUGCAUUUCUGAUUGUUUCAUCUGUCAAGGAAAAUCAUACAAUAAAGCAGCAACUUAAAAAACAACAAAGGAGCUAAAUUACUCAGCCAAUAAGCAUGGCACAUUGCACAUGCGCGCAGAUUGCAAAAGUUAGGUGUCAGAUUUACCUUCAAAAGUUCACAGAUGAUUUUAGAUUGCACAACGAAGAUGAUUUCAAAACGCCAGUUAUUGCCUCAGCUUGCUUUGAAGGACUUGAUGAUUCAUGUUGUGCAGUCUAAACCUGCCAAACGUUCUGGUGAUUACUUCUUGCGGCAGAUUGUCAAGCUUGAAAGGGUGAUCAACGAGAUGGACGCUAUAAAGCUGGAGUGAGUUGUUGCCCAUUAGCUCCUAAAUUGACUUCAUAAUUUAUCCUUUUUGGUUCCCUGUUUUACUUUGAUUAUCAGGCUGAAUUUUUCCUGAGGAGUCAGUAUGUUGUUUGGAGGUGGAGGAUGUAGUUAGCAUUCUAAAUGUAAUUUUAACUUUUCUUAACUUAAGUUGUUUUAUCUUAAGAAAUAACCCAUCCAUUUAUUGUUCCAAAAAAGAGGCUUAAGAAAGUUUCAUUAUUCUGGUGA